rnacentral:tRNA from 1 species
GUGGCUUAGCGGUAUAGCACCUCAUUGGUAAUGAGGAGGUCGCGAGUUCAAUUCUCGCC